UCAGCCCCUAUUGGAGGAAUUUCAAUCAUUUUUCAAAUAUAGUUGAGGAACGCUUUUGAGAAUCCAUUAAUUAAAAAUCAUCUAAUUUUGAGCACUAGAAUCUGUGAUACUCGCUAAUAUACCCGAGGUGAACACUAUUUUUAGUCCAACCGCCUAUGUUGUAAAAGCUCCUGAAGUUCAGCUUCUAAAGCAAGAAUUUUAAUGAUUUUUUAAAUAUAGCUGGAGAACCCUUCCAAGGAUCAGUGAAUCAAAAAUUACAUGAUUUUUAGUACUGGAAGCCUUACAUUGUCUAAUUUAAAUGACGUAAAUGACUUUGUUUAGUCCAGGAUCUCGUUUAACAAUAACUUCAAUUCUGUUGCAAAGGUUUUAGGGUUUUUCAAAUGUAGUUGAAUAAGUCUUGAAGGACUAGAAGCCAGGAUAUAAACUAAUGUACAUAAAGCUCAUAAUUAUGUUUAGUCCGGGACCUCCUGUAAUAAAAACUCCCAUAUCUCAGCCCCUAUUACAGGAAUUUCAAUCAUUUUUCAAAUAUAGUUGAGGAACGCUUUUGAGAAUCCAUUAAUUAAAAAUCAUCUAAUUUUGAGCACUAGAACCUGUGAUACUCGCUAAUAUACCCGAGGUGAACAUUAUUUUUAGUCCAACCGCCUAUGUUAUAAAAACUCCUGAAUUUCAGCUUCUAAAACAAGAAUUUUAAUGAUUUUUUAAAUAUAGCUGGAGAACCCUUCCAAGGAUCAGUGAAUCAAAAAUUACAUGAUUUUUAGUACUGGAAGCCUUACAUUGUCUAAUUUAAAUGACGUAAAUGACUUUGUUUAGUCCAGGAUCUCGUUUAACAAUAACUUCAAUUCUGUUGCAAAGGUUUUAGGGUUUUUCAAAUGUAGUUGAAUAAGUCUUGAAGGACUAGAAGCCAGGAUAUAAACUAAUGUACAUAAAGCUCAUAAUUAUGUUUAGUCCGGGACCUCCUGUAAUAAAAACUCCCAUAUCUCAGCCCCUAUUGCAGGAAUUUCAAUCAUUUUUCAAAUAUAGUUGAGGAACGCUUUUGAGAAUCCAUUAAUUAAAAAUCAUCUAAUUUUGAGCACUAGAACCUGUGAUACUCGCUAAUAUACCCGAGGUGAACAUUAUUUUUAGUCCAACCGCCUAUGUUAUAAAAACUCCUGAAGUUCAGCUUCUAAAGCAAGAAUUUUAAUGAUUUUUUAAAUAUAGCUGGAGAACCCUUCCAAGGAUCAGUGAAUCAAAAAUUACCUGAUUUUUAGUACUGGAAGCCUUACAUUGACUGAUCUAAAUGACGUAAAUGACUUUGU